rnacentral:tRNA from 1 species
GGCAGGUUACCCGAGUGGCCAAAGGGAACUGACUGUAAAUCAGUCGCGCAAGCUUCGGGGGUUCGAAUCCCUCACCUGCCACCA